rnacentral:rRNA from 1 species
AUUGAACGCUGGCGGCAGGCCUAACACAUGCAAGUCGAACGAGUGGCGGACGGGUGAGUAAUGUCUGGGAAACUGCCUGAUGGAGGGGGAUAACUACUGGAAACGGUAGCUAAUACCGCAUACCAUCGGAUGUGCCCAGAUGGGAUAAGCUAGUAGGUGGGGUAACGGCUCACCGAGGCGACGAUCCCUAGCUGGUCUGAGAGGAUGACCAGCCACUCUGGGACGGAGACAGGGGCCAGACUACACCGGGAGGCAGCAGAGGGGAAUAUUGCACAAUGGGCGCAAGCCGGUAGCAGCCAGGCCGCGUGUAUGAAGAAGGCCUUCGGGUUGCAAAGUACGUUCAGCGGGGAGGCGUUACCCGCAGAAGAAGCACCGGCGAACUCCGUGCCAGCCGCCGCGGUAAUUC